AGCACGUCUACAACCAGGUUAACCAGCACGACUUCAGUGCCUGUAGAUGUAACUGCAGUUUUUAACUUGACCUUCCGCAUUGAUGAAACAUUUGAUCCAGCACUGGUCAAUACCAACUCUCCCCAGUUUGCAGCAAAAGCUAAAACAAUCCGCAGUCAGAUUGAACCUUUGUACUCCAAAACCUUUAAAAACUUCAAAAACAUGGAAAUUUUACGAUUAAGGAAGGGUUCUACUGUAGUAGAAAGCAACAUCUACUUUAAUUCUAAUGGACCAAAUGUUACUACAUCCGAAGUGAAAAGAACUCUUCUCAAUGGACUUAGUAACUUGGAUUUUACUGUUAUUCCAAACUCCAUCGAUCUCACUCAGACAUUUGGUAAUUCCAUGCCACCAGUGAUCGCCAGCUCACUUUCCAUGAUCUGGAUGUGUCUUUUAUCUCUCCUGCUGUCACUAGUAUUACAUUUCUAGCUCAAGGCUUUAUCAUUAAACAUGACCAAUAAUUAAUAUAUGUAUUUAUAAGAUAAAGGGCAUAUGGG